UCCAGCUCCAAGAGCGUAUAUUAAAGUUGUUGCAGUUAAAAAGCUCGUAGUUGAAUUUUGGGAUGGCCCUGAGGGUCCACUUUUUUGUGAGUACUCUCGCGGGCUGUUCUUCCAUGGCCCUCUUUUUGAGAGCCAUAAUUACCUUUGAGUAAAUGAGAGUGUUCAAAGCAGGCAAGCGCUUGAAUCUUUUAGCAUGGAAUAAUAAAAUAGGACGAUGAUUCUAUUUUGUUGGUUUCUAGGACCAUCGUAAUGAUUAAUAGGGACGGUCGGGGGCAUUAGUAUUCAGUUGUAAGAGGUGAAAUUCUUAGAUUUUCUGAAGACUAACUACUGCGAAAGCAUUUGUCAAGGACGUUUUCAUUAAUCAAGAACGAAAGUUAGGGGAUCGAAGAUGAUCAGAUACCGUCGUAGUCUUAACCAUAAACUAUGCCGACUAGGGAUUGGGCGACGCCUCAUGUAUAUGACGCGCCCAGCACCUUACGAGAAAUCAAAGUUUUUGGGUUCUGGGGGGAGUAUGGUCGCAAGGCUGAAACUUAAAGGAAUUGACGGAAGGGCACCACCAGGAGUGGAGCCUGCGGCUUAAUUUGACUCAACACGGGGAAACUCACCAGGUCCAGACACAAUAAGGAU
rnacentral:rRNA from 1 species